GGGGGGAACGGAUACGCUACUCCAGCCGGCUCUUCACUGAGAAAAAAAGAAUCGAAAUAAGUGAACCCCAUGAAGAGUUUACCUUGAAAGGAAAUGUAGUUGAUGGUCAAUAAGCCUUGACAUUGAGAAAGGCAUUUGCUACAUGCUAAAGCUAGUUCAUCACAAGGGCUUCUGUCUCAGUGUGUACAUGGGUGUGGGGAUGAGGGACUUGUGAAAGGGUCUUACCCUGGUCAUUGUUUGUACAUGCACAGAGCACGACAUGUAAAGGCAAUGCUAUUGCUCAAGCGAGUGCGUCACUGUUAUUACAUGAGUAACGUCUGCCCUGUCUGAGCCUAUGCGAAAAAUAAGGAUUUUGGAUUGAAAGAUUGCUGGCCAAACAUCAAAGACAUUUAGAAGAAAUAAUGAACCGUAGUGCUCUCAGUUUGAGGCGAUGCAUUGCCUACACUGAUGCUCGCCAUGUUUGAGUAUGAUUGCCGAAGGGAUUUCCAAAUGAAACGAUCCCUGACUUGGUGAAAGGAAAAUCAUAGCUUUGUAAGAUCGUAAAACAAGGCUUUGGGGAAACAAAAGAAAACACAUCAUGCAGCUUUCAGUGACUCCUCGUGACUUGAGGGCAGUUUAACUCUGCGUCAUAAAACCUCAAUGAUUGACAGAACAGAUAAAAAGUCCACUUCUGUUCUGGACCCUUACCCUGGCAGGGCCCUAACCUUUUAACCUUGAUAUUAAAACAUGGUGGGAAAGGGCCAAUCCUGCCACCUUCAAAAUAAGGAACUUCUUCUGCCUGAUCUACCAUAUCUGCAAUACAGGUGGAAAAAAAACAUCCCAGUCACCUCAAUGCAGACAUGGACACACCAAAGUAUGGCUUCUCCACAUCCUGAUAUGCACAUACCCAGCCGACAACCGGCUCUGGAACCAGUCUGCGUCAGGGCCAGAUCCCUUAUCCAGAGUGGCCCCCUGGAGGCGCAUCUGUCAUGCUGCAAACCACAUUCAUCCUCAGGUCCUGAUGAAGCUGUGCAGUGGGCAUGAAUAGGUCCUUUUCCUCGGCAUAGACCUCAACACCACUGUGUGCAAAGACAAAUUACUUGCAAAGACAGCUAGAAACACAGGAGACACCAUGACACAUGUACAGGAGCUAAGCGGCAUGCUUCAAUGCAUUCAGCGAAGCUGAAGAUUCUCAGAACAGAAGCCAUUCUUACAUGACACUGACACUGAAGCCAGGUAGAUCAUCUGUUCUGAAGUAGAAUAUUUUCCUCAAUGACUGCUUGGCCUAUUUAUUGUUUUAUACACACCUUACUCACUCAUACUGUGAAUUACAUUCAAUAAUACUCUCAGCAUAGACUGUAGACUAUUAUCUAUUUGCUUCCUGAAUAGAUUGUAAUACAAAAAAAAAAUGUGCCCCUGAAUCUGGUAAAUGUACCCCAGAUGAUCACUCUCACUGCUAUGUGUUCCUAAAGAAUCUAAAACUGUCCACCUGGCCGUACUAUGUGUGUUUUGUUUCUUUUUGUGUUUGUUGAAACUAGUGAAUUAUUUGUUCUUUGUUACACCUUUAAUUAACUACCCAACGAGAAGAAUUUUAACACAAUUUCCUUUUUUGUAAGAAUCUUAAAGGAAAAGGUAAUACGUUUAGUUCCUGCGUUACUGGUUUAAAUCAUUUCAUUGAAUUUUGCACUGUUGGAAGAUUGUAAAAAUUGUCAACUUUUUCCACGCUUAACAUAAAACUCAUUAGUGCUGUCUGUUAGUAACGUGUUGGAAUUUAACUUGACCCAGGUUAUUUAAUUUAAUCAAAAAGGCCAUCCUUUUUUUAUUUGAAAUUUGGUUUAUUGUUCAAAUUUGCUCAGUUUAUUGUGAAGAUGGUGAAGUAAAAAUUAGCUCGUUAAGGAAGGAUCACCCCUGUCUUAUCAAUUUCAAUUACAAAAUGAGGUUGAGGUUUAACAAAAAAUGGAAUACACUGAAAGCACUACGAGACUAGGUCAUCUGAAAUGCAAAACAACCAUAACAUAACAGAGCAAAACUUUUUCUAACAUAACAGAGCAAAACAUGAAAACAGAUGCUGUCUAAGUAAGUUGUAUUGUUCUUAGCCUCCCGCAGCCUUAUGGAUGGUCCUCUUUUAUGCCGGCCUUCAUGUAUGGGUGUGAUCUCAUAGCCUGUAUUUCCUUCCUUUUUUCUCUGAGCUCUACCUCACAUAACUUCUCUAAUUGCAGAUAUGGGCCAGACCCUGGCUACAUCCGUACCAGUAUCUGGGAUGUGCUAGUCCCUUUGGCUUAAGAUCAGUGACUGAAGGAUCACCCUGUACCCUUUAUUUAUUUAUUUAUUUAUUUAUUUAUAUAUUAUUUAUUGAUUGAUUGAUUAUUAUUAUUUUGAAUCAUCUCUUCUUUCGAGACGGCUCCUGAUCCCUGGUCAGUGUGAGCUAGACCAGCCACAGGUACUGCUGUUCGUUAGGUUAUCUGAGAACAGUCACAGGUACUGCUGUUCGUUAGGUUAUCUGGGAACAGUCACAGGUACUGCUGUUCGUUAGGUUAUCUGGGAACAGUCACAGGUACUGCUGUUCGUUAGGUUAUCUGGGAACAGUCACAGGUACUGCUGUUCGUUAGGUUAUCUGGGAAGAGUCACAGGUUUUGGGCUGGCAGCUGGGUUACUUUGAGAGCCUUCGCUGUGUUUGACUGUAAGCUCCCUCCGUGUGUCAAGUUCCUUUGACGCAAGGUUGUGUGUGUUUUGUUGUUAAGUUUUUUAUAGGACGUUUUAGCCUUUAUUCAGACAGGACAGUAGAGAGACACAGCAAAGGAGUAGGAGAGAAAUGAGGUUUGUGUGAUUAAGAGGCCAUCGUUCAUCCAACAUUGAUGGAGUGUUUAUGCACAAGGUUCUGAAUCAUUGCGUUUGUGUGUCUGUCUUUGUGUGUAUUUGUUUUGGUUACAGUCAAAUGUAUUAUUUGUGUGUUCUGAUUGGAUGAUAAGCUUCCCACUGAUAAUUAAAGUUCUCAAGACACAUAUUAAUUGCCCGGCGUAAAUGAAACAACCUUACUCAACAUCGUUGCCCGGCAACAUUGUUAAAAUUGUUGCCCUGUGUUUCAUCACCUUAAGGUUCAAAGUUUAGACCACAACUGCUGCUGUUAUGCUGUAUUCCCAGUGAUUGCCUAAUGCCUCUUUCACUCCUUCUCUCUCCCUCUUUCUCUCUCUGUCUCUCUCCACCUUGGCUGUCUUUAUCUCUAUCUCUAUUUCCCCCUGUAAUUAAAGACAUGGAGUUGUACAGAAGGGUGUAUAUCUAUCUAUCUAUAUAUAUAUAGAAAGAGAGAGUUCACAGAGUAUUGUACAGGAUGUGUACAUUGUUUUCUCAAAUGGGUCUGCGACCUAAACUUUCACUGCAAACUGACUUCACGUCCAAUUCAGACUCAAGAUGCACAAGUUCAUAUAGACAUGCAACAAACUUCACAAUCAAAGAACAGAUGCAAAACUUUUGUUAUUAUCUGUAGUCACUGAGAUUAUUGUUUUGGGUGAGGUAUGGGGCUGGGCACAUUGUUUGUUUUGGGCUGGGGAAAGGUGUUGGAUCCAGCGUACCUAAUCACCAACCCAACACCAAUGUAUUUUUGUUUUCUUUUCAAGGCUACACUUGUAUGAUCAGGAUUAACAUGGUGUGUAAUAUAUGACCUGAUACCAUGUAUCUGUGUACUGUAUUCAGUAUUCAAUAAAAAAAAGAAAAAGUUAA